rnacentral:rRNA from 1 species
CAAUAGCGUAUAUUAAAGUUGUUGCAGUUAAAAAGCUCGUAGUUGGACCUUGGACCUGGACAGGCGGUCCGCCUCACGGCGUGUACUGUCUUGCUGGGUCUUUCCUCUUGGUGAUCUGUUGUUUCGGCAGCAGGGAACCAGGACUUUUACUUUGAAAAAAUUAGAGUGUUCAAAGCAGGCUCGACGCCGGAAUAUAUUAGCAUGGAAUAAUAAAAUAGGACGUGCGGUUCUAUUUUGUUGGUUUUUGGAAUCGCCGUAAUGAUUAAUAGGGACAGUCGGGGGCAUUAGUACUCUCAUGCUAGAGGUGAAAUUCUUGGAUUUUGUGAAGACUAACUUCUGCGAAAGCAUUUGCCAAGGAUGUUUUCAUUAA